rnacentral:rRNA from 1 species
AUGCCUCGUCAUCUAAUUAGUGACGCGCAUGAAUGGAUUAACGAGAUUCCUACUGUCCCUAUCUACUAUCUAGCGAAACCACAGCCAAGGGAACGGGCUUGGAAUAAUUAGCGGGGAAAGAAGACCCUGUUGAGCUUGACUCUAGUCUGGCAGUGUAAGGAGACAUAAGAGGUGUAGCAUAAGUGGGAGAUAUAUUAGUUUCGGCUAUAUAUAUCAAAAAUGAAAUACCACUACUCUUAUUGUUUCCUUACUUACUUGAUAAAAUGGAACGUGUAUCAUUCACUUAGCUAUUACACGGAUAUAUUUAUAUAUUUUAUGGUAUUUUGUUUUGAUGCGAGCUUCUUGUUUAAAGUAUCAAGAGUUUGUUAUAUACACCAAACAAAUUACAAUUAAAUUUACUUUCCAUUAAUAAUGGUUUGUUAAAUAUUAUUUGAAUUUGGUAUAACUAUUAUACUCAGGUAUGAUCCAAUUCAAGGACAUUGCCAGGUGGGGAGUUUGACUGGGGCGGUACAUCUCUCAAAUAAUAACGGAGGUGUCCCAAGGCCAGCUCAGUGCGGACAGAAACCACACAUAGAGCAAAAGGGCAAAUGCUGACUUGAUCUCGGUGUUCAGUACAUACAGAGACAGCAAAAGCUCGGCCUAUCGAUCCUUUUGGUUUAAAGAGUUUUUAACAAGAGGUGUCAGAAAAGUUAC